rnacentral:misc_RNA from 1 species
GGUGAAGAACGUAGCGAAAUGCGAUACGUAAUGUGAAUUGCAGAAUUCAGUGAAUCAUCGAAUCUUUGAACGCAUAUUGCGCUCUCUGGUAUUCCGGAGAGCAUGCUUGUUUGAGUAUCAGUAAACACCUCAACUUCCAUAUCUUUUUUGAAAUGGGAGUUGGACUUGAGUGAUCCCAACGCUUUUCCUCACCGAAAAGUGGCGGGUUACUUGAAAUGCAGGUGCAGCUGGACUUUUCUCUGAGCUAUAAGCAUAUCUAUUUAGUCUGCCUAAAAAACAGAUUAUUACCUUUGCUGCAGCUAACAUAAAGGAGAUUAGUUCUUGUGCUGACUGAUGCAGGAUUCACAAAGACGGCUUCGGCCGACUUUGUAAACUCGAUCUCAAAUCAAGUAAGACUACCCGCUGAACUUAAGCAUAUCAAUAAGCGGAGGA